UUACAACCAUAUCACGGUGAAACAACGGUUCCUGUACGAUCACCGAAGUUAAGAAACGUCGAGCCUGGUCAGCACCUAGAUGGGUGACCGCUUGGGACUACCACAUGCUGUAAG